UACGGAAUGUGCAAACGUUAUUCGGAAUCACUGGGCUUAAAGAGUCCGUAGGCGGCAUGUUAGGUGAGGUGUGAAAUCCCCCGGCUCAACCGAGGAAUUGCGCUUCAAACCGGCGUGCUUGAGGAAGAUAGAGGUGGGCGGAACUGAUGGUGGAGCGGUGAAAUGCGUUGAUAUCAUCAGGAACACCGGAGGCGAAGGCGGCCCACUGGGUCUUUUCUGACGCUGAGGGACGAAAGCUAGGGGAGCGAAC
rnacentral:rRNA from 2 species